UAAAUACCCAUCAUCGCACCUACUAACCUACAUACUCCAUUGUAAUUGAAUAGCUCUUUAAAAAUGAAUAAUUUCAAUGACAGCAUUUGAACUUCCUAACGAUUACAUUGUUUAAUGCAUCAAUAUCGUUAAUCAAUAAUCAUUGAUAUUUGCCAAUUGAUUAGGAAAGAACAAAUUAUUUUAUGCAAUCAUGAUCUUUAUUCCUUAAAAAAAAAAAAAAAAAAAAAUUGGGAAAUACACAUUGUAGCUAUACUUGCUAGAACGCGAAUUAUACUUUGAGUUACACUUUGUCUCACCCAAAAUAAAG